rnacentral:lncRNA from 1 species
AGAGUGGUGGGGCCACGUGGAGUUUGUUACAGAGAGUGGAGUGGUGUCUGUUGUCGCAACUUGCUGGAGAGUUCAGGUUGGACGGCUGAAGCUCGGUUGGGACAUCUAGUGGAGCGGAAUAGCUCUCUGUCUCAGCAAUCUAAGAGAAGCUCGGAUGUUUUCGAGAUUACUGACGGGUUAACUGUUGUUGGGUGCCUUAGGUGUUGAUGCUGC